rnacentral:rRNA from 1 species
UACGGAGGGUGCGAGCGUUGUCCGGAAUCACUGGGCGUAAAGGGCGCGUAGGCGGCAGGCCAAGCGUGCGGUGAAAGUCCGGGGCUCAACCCCGGAUCUGCCGUGCGGACUGGUUUGCUAGAGCACUGUAGAGGCGAGUGGAAUUCCGGGUGUAGCGGUGGAAUGCGUAGAGAUCCGGAAGAACACCGGUGGCGAAGGCGGCCUGCUGGGCAGUUGCUGACACUGAGGCGCGACAGCGUGGGGAGCAAACAGG